CGCUAUCACUCCUACGGGGAGGCAGCAGUGGGGGAAUAUUGCACAAUGGGCGCAAGCCUGAUGCAGCCAUGCCGCGUGUGUGAAGAAGGACCUUCGGGUUGUAAAGCACUUUCAGUCGUGAGGAAGGUGGUAGUGUUAAUAGCACUAUCAUUUGACGUUAGCGACAGAAGAAAGCACCGGCUAACUCCGUGCCAGCAGCCGCGGUAAUACGGAGGGUGCGAGCGUUAAUCGGAAUUACUGGGCGUAAAGCGCAUGCAGGUGGUUUGUUAAGUCAGAUGUGAAAGGACCCGGGGCGUCAACCUACGGAAGUAAGCAUUUAGUAAACUGGCAGACUAGAGUACUGUAGAGGGGGGUAGGAAUUUCAGGUGUAGCGGUGAAAUGCGUAGAGAUCUGAAGGAAUACCGGUGGCGAAGGCGGCCCCCUCGGACAGAUACUGACACUCAGAUGCGAAAGCGUGGGGAGCAAACAGGAUUAGAUACCCUGGUAG
rnacentral:rRNA from 1 species